UGGCCAUAAAAUUAUAUUAUCAUUAGUCUAGUAGUACUACAAAAUGUAUGAUCAAGAAUUUUUCUUUUCUAGAGAUAAGUAUCUGUAUCAACGUCAAUACGUCGAACAUUAUGGCUACAAAUGAAACUGACUUUGCUAAUUGUAGUCUAUGUUUUAACGUAAAAACCUUCAGGAAAGACGUAAAAUGCACGCACGCUAGACACACAGCCGAUACUGUUUGUCAAGUCUACGAGAACGUCAACGACUUAUGUCGACUCUGUUUCAAGAACGUCAGUAGUUCUGACGUGGAAGUCUACUCGUGUCAGUCCGAUCACUCGGACGAUUGUUCUAAGUACUUCGAUGUCCAUGUUGACGAGACCGGCAAGACAGGUGGACAUCCAGAAACUCUAUAAUCAUGCCCUACUGCGAAUUUAGUCAUUGCAGCAGCCAUUGGAAUGAUUAGUGGAGUGAUUUUCUGUCUCGGAAUUGUGGUAUGCAUCUACUUUGUCAUACGGUGCAAAACGCGACAAGAAGACAAUCCUAGGGGCUUGGAUUCAGUUAGAUCUAGAAGGAGAUCUACAAAAUGCGAGGAAGAAACGGAAUCAAGCCUAUGUAUUCAAAAUUCCAAUGCAAUGACGGUCAAUUCCUCGUAUAUAACGACCACUUCAAAAGCAGUCUCCACCGAAUCUGUGGAUUAUGCUGAUUACGAAGACGUGUCCAACGUACCGCCACCUGGUAGGAAAGAUGACGAAGACGUCAGCGUGGCCGUGCACGUAUAGCCAUGCACCUGAUGCGACAGA